UACAGAGGGUGCGAGCGUUAAUCGGAAUUACUGGGCGUAAAGCGCGCGUAGGCGGCUUUGCAAGUCGGGUGUGAAAUCCCCAGGCUUAACCUGGGAACUGCAUUCGAGACUGCAUUGCUAGAGUAUGGGAGAGGGAAGUGGAAUUUCCGGUGUAGCGGUGAAAUGCGUAGAUAUCUGGAGGAACACCGGUGGCGAAGGCGGCAUCCUGGACCGGCAUUGACGCUGAGGCGCGAAAGCUAGGGGAGCAAACGGG
rnacentral:rRNA from 1 species